ACCCACAACUGAUCUGAUCAUACUCACCAUGAACAAAUACAUGCUGCUGCUUUUCAUUAUGGCAUCAGAUGUGACAGCUGUGGACAAAAUUGAGCCGAAUAAAGGGACGAGCAUCACCAAAACAGAAGGAGAGUCUGUAACGCUGAGCUGCUCAUAUGAUUCAGACAGUGAAUAUGUACGUCUCUUCUGGUACAGACAAUAUCCUAAUGGAGAUCCUCAAUAUUUAUUACGUGAAGGAGCACGAUCAAACAGUGCUAAGCACAGCUCUGAUCCUCGAUUCCAGUCAAAAACUUCUCGCAUAUUGACUGAACUUAUUAUUAGUAGUGUGUCUGUGUCAGAUUCAGCUCUCUAUUACUGCGCUUUAAGAGUUGAAGCCCAGUGAUACAAAACACGAAACAAGUCGUACAAAAACUACAAGCCAUCUUCACUUUGAAGCUGUUAUUAUGAAAACCUCAAUGCGAGAUAAUAACAAUAAACACCUGUGUGAGGUUGAUAGGAAAGAUGUUUUAUGAAAGGAAAAAAUAGCAUAAAAAAAAGCUUGUCAGAAAGAUAAAAUGCUUAAAAAUGUUUUAGGGUUGCAACUGUGUGUUAAAAAACGUACUACAAAUGUGCAACAAUUAUGUUACAUUUGCAAAAAACCUAAAGCUUCCCCAUAAUGAAAAUGUAUUUCAAGUAGUUUUGUUUUUUAACUGACUGACACUAAAGUAUGACUAAAGUUCAUUUUAACUUGUGUACAAAAUCUUCUAUGCACCCACUUAGAAUAUUAUAACUUAGAAUUAAUCUUAACAAUAAUGGACAGAAAAUUUGUUUCACAUAAUGGUAGCAAUAAUGAGCCAGGCCAUAAGAAAAACUAUUCCUUCAAAAUAAAGCUUCUUUUUUGUCUUGAAGUGUCAAAAGAGGAGGGAUUUAUAUCUGACAUGAUCUAUUUCUGUCUGACA